UGCAGAUGAUGUAAAAGAAUAUUUGCUAUCUUAACAACACUGCUGACAAUUUCCCACCAAGAUCGCUGAUGCA
ensembl:snoRNA SNORD24 Small nucleolar RNA SNORD24